GAGAGUACGGUCGCAGUACUGAAACUCAAAGGAAUUGACGGGGGCCCGCACCAGCGGUGGAGCAUGUGGUUUAAUUCGAAGCAACGCGAAGAACUUACCCAGGUCUUGACAUCCUCUGACAACUCGAGAGAUAGAGCGUUCCCCUUCGGGGGACAGAGUGACAGGUGGUGCAUGGUUGUCGUCAGCUCGUGUCGUGAGAUGUUGGGUUAAGUCCCGCAACGAGCGCAACCCUUGAUCUUAGUUGCCAGCAUUUAGUUGGGCACUCUAAGGUGACCGCCGGUGACAAACCGGAGGAAGGUGGGGAUGACGUCAAAUCAUCAUGCCCCUUAUGACCUGGGCUACACACGUGCUACAAUGGAUGGUACAAAGGGCUGCAAGACCGCGAGGUCAAGCCAAUCCCAUAAAACCAUUCUCAGUUCGGAUUGUAGGCUGCAACUCGCCUACAUGAAGCUGGAAUCGCUAGUAAUCGCGGAUCAGCAUGCCGCGGUGAAUACGUUCCC
rnacentral:rRNA from 1 species